AGUUCCAAGACCAAGAAGCCCAACUCUCACCAGCGGGGGCAGAUGGGGAGCUAGGGAAGGAACCCUCCCAGCCUGGGGAGGGCACCUGCACCCCUCCCAGAGAGAGAAGCCCCCAUCCCGGCCCCCCAGCUGGGCCCCAGCGCUGCUGGAACCAGCCGGCAGGUGGGGCAGAAAAGCAGCACCUCCCCUCACCAGGGCGAGGAGGCAAUAUUGAACCGUGAACUCAAGAAGAAAGACGGAAAGAAAAAA
rnacentral:lncRNA from 1 species